CCUACGGGGGGCAGCAGUCGAGAAUCAUUCACAAUGGGGGAAACCCUGAUGGUGCGACGCCGCGUGGGGGAAUGAAGGUCUUCGGAUUGUAAACCCCUGUCAUGUGGGAGCAAAUUAAAAAGAUAGUACCACAAGAGGAAGAGACGGCUAACUCUGUGCCAGCAGCCGCGGUAAUACAGAGGUCUCAAGCGUUGUUCGGAAUCACUGGGCGUAAGGCGUGCGAAGGCUGUUUCGUAAGUCGUGUGUGAAAGGCGCGGGCUCAACCCGCGGACGGCACAUGAUACUGCGAGACUAGAGUAAUGGAGGGGGAACCGGAAUUCUCGGUGUAGCAGUGAAAUGCGUAGAUAUCGAGAGGAACACUCGUGGCGAAGGCGGGUUCCUGGACAUUAACUGACGCUGAGGCACGAAGGCCAGGGGAGCGAAAGGGAUUAGAUACCCCUGUAGUC
rnacentral:rRNA from 1 species